GAGUUUGAUCCUGGCUCAGAACGAACGCUGGCGGCGUGGAUAAGACAUGCAAGUCGAACGAGAGAAUUGCUAGCUUGCUAAUAAUUCUCUAGUGGCGCACGGGUGAGUAACACGUGAGUAACCUGCCCCCGAGAGCGGGAUAGCCCUGGGAAACUGGGAUUAAUACCGCAUAGUAUCGAAAGAUUAAAGCAGCAAUGCGCUUGGGGAUGGGCUCGCGGCCUAUUAGUUAGUUGGUGAGGUAACGGCUCACCAAGGCGAUGACGGGUAGCCGGUCUGAGAGGAUGUCCGGCCACACUGGAACUGAGACACGGUCCAGACACCUACGGGUGGCAGCAGUCGAGAAUCAUUCACAAUGGGGGAAACCCUGAUGGUGCGACGCCGCGUGGGGGAAUGAAGGUCUUCGGAUUGUAAACCCCUGUCAUGUGGGAGCAAAUUAAAAAGAUAGUACCACAAGAGGAAGAGACGGCUAACUCUGUGCCAGCAGCCGCGGUAAUACAGAGGUCUCAAGCGUUGUUCGGAAUCACUGGGCGUAAAGCGUGCGUAGGCUGUUUCGUAAGUCGUGUGUGAAAGGCGCGGGCUCAACCCGCGGACGGCACAUGAUACUGCGAGACUAGAGUAAUGGAGGGGGAACCGGAAUUCUCGGUGUAGCAGUGAAAUGCGUAGAUAUCGAGAGGAACACUCGUGGCGAAGGCGGGUUCCUGGACAUUAACUGACGCUGAGGCACGAAGGCCAGGGGAGCGAAAGGGAUUAGAUACCCCUGUAGUCCUGGCAGUAAACGGUGCACGCUUGGUGUGCGGGGAAUCGACCCCCUGCGUGCCGGAGCUAACGCGUUAAGCGUGCCGCCUGGGGAGUACGGUCGCAAGAUUAAAACUCAAAGAAAUUGACGGGGACCCGCACAAGCGGUGGAGUAUGUGGCUUAAUUCGAUGCAACGCGAAGAACCUUACCUGGGCUUGACAUGUAAUGAACAACAUGUGAAAGCAUGCGACUCUUCGGAGGCGUUACACAGGUGCUGCAUGGCCGUCGUCAGCUCGUGUCGUGAGAUGUUUGGUUAAGUCCAGCAACGAGCGCAACCCCUGUUGCCAGUUACCAGCACGUGAAGGUGGGGACUCUGGCGAGACUGCCCAGAUCAACUGGGAGGAAGGUGGGGACGACGUCAGGUCAGUAUGGCCCUUAUGCCCAGGGCUGCACACGUACUACAAUGCCCAGUACAGAGGGGGCCGAAGCCGCGAGGCGGAGGAAAUCCUAAAAACUGGGCCCAGUUCGGACUGUAGGCUGCAACCCGCCUACACGAAGCCGGAAUCGCUAGUAAUGGCGCAUCAGCUACGGCGCCGUGAAUACGUUCCCGGGUCUUGCACACACCGCCCGUCA
rnacentral:rRNA from 1 species